rnacentral:rRNA from 1 species
UGAGGAAUAUUGCUCAAUGGGCGAAAGCCUGAAGCAGCAACGCCGCGUGCGCGAUGAAGGUCUUCGGAUCGUAAAGCGCUUUUGAGAGGGACGAGAUAGGACGGUACCUCUUGAAUAAGUCACGGCUAACUACGUGCCAGCAGCCGCGGUAAAACGUAGGUGGCAAGCGUUAUCCGGAUUCACUGGGCGUAAAGCGCGUGCAGGUGGCUUCGUAAGUUGGACGUUAAAUCUUUCGGCCUAACCGGGAGGUGUCGUUCAAUACUGCGGGGCUUGAGGGUAGAAGAGNGGGGUGGAAUUGCCGGUGUAGUGGUGAAAUGCGUAGAUAUCGGCAGGAACACCUGUGGCGAAAGCGGCCCCCUGGUCUGCUCCUGACACUCAGACGCGAAAGCUAGGGGAGUGAACG